CCUACGGGGAGCUGCAGUGAGGAAUAUUGGUCAAUGGACGAGAGUCUGAACCAGCCAAGUAGCGUGAAGGAUGACUGCCCUAUGGGUUGUAAACUUCUUUUAUAUGGGAAUAAAACGUUCCACGUGUGGGAUUUUGUAUGUACCAUAUGAAUAAGGAUCGGCUAACUCCGUGCCAGCAGCCGCGGUAAUACGGAGGAUCCGAGCGUUAUCCGGAUUUAUUGGGUUUAAAGGGAGCGUAGGUGGAUUGUUAAGUCAGUUGUGAAAGUUUGCGGCUCAUCCGUAAAAUUGCAGUUGAAACUGGCAGUCUUGAGUACAGUAGAGGUGGGCGGAAUUCGUGGUGUAGCGGUGAAAUGCUUAGAUAUCACGAAGAACUCCGAUUGCGAAGGCAGUUCACUGGACUGCAACUGACACUGAGGCUCGAAAGUGUGGGUAUCAAACAGGAUUAGAUACCCUUGUAGUC
rnacentral:rRNA from 1 species